ACGGAAGGCAGCAGUGGGGAAUAUUGCACAAUGGGGGAAACCCUGAUGCAGCGAUGCCGCGUGGAGGAAGAAGGUUUUCGGAUUGUAAACUCCUGUCUUAAAGGACGAUAAUGACGGUACUUUAGGAGGAAGCUCCGGCUAACUACGUGCCAGCAGCCGCGGUAAUACGUAGGGAGCGAGCGUUGUCCGGAAUUACUGGGUGUAAAGGGGGCGUAGGCGGGACUGCAAGUCAGAUGUGAAAUGCCGGGGCUUAACCCCGGAGCUGCAUUUGAAACUGUGGUUCUUGAGUGAAGUAGAGGCAAGCGGAAUUCCUGGUGUAGCGGUGAAAUGCGUAGAUAUCAGGAGGAACACCGGUGGCGAGGGCGGUUUACUGGACCACAACUGACGCUGAGACACGAAAGCGUGGGGAGCAAACAGGAUUAGAUACCCUGGUA
rnacentral:rRNA from 1 species